GGAGGAGUGGCCGAGUGGUCUAAGGCGACGGUCUUGAAAACCGUUGACGGGCAACCGUCCGGGGGUUCGAAUCCCUCCUCCUCCU
rnacentral:tRNA from 1 species